rnacentral:tRNA from 1 species
UAGUACCACGCCGGGCUGAACGGAAAUCAUUGAUGUUGAUUAAUACGGGAGGGAUAUCUCUCUGGUACUAG